rnacentral:rRNA from 1 species
AACUAACGCUGGCGGCGUGCCUAACACAUGCAAGUCGUACGAGAAAGCCGGCUUCGGCUGGUGAGUAAAGUGGCGCACGGGUGAGUAACGCGUGGAUAAUCUGCCCUUAAGUGUGGAAUAACGUACCGAAAGGUGCGCUAAUACCGCAUAAUGCCUGGCAACACAAGUUGUCCGGCCAAAGAAGGCCUCUGUUUACAAGCUUUCGCUUCAGGAUGAGUCCGCGUACCAUUAGCUUGUUGGUGGGGUAAUGGCCUACCAAGGCUGCGAUGGUUAGCUGGUCUUAGAGGAUGAUCAGCCACACUGGGACUGAGACACGGCCCAGACUCCUACGGGAGGCAGCAGUGGGGAAUCUUGGACAAUGGGCGCAAGCCUGAUCCAGCCAUGCCGCGUGAGUGAAGAAGGUCUUCGGAUUGUAAAGCUCUUUUACCAGGGACGAUAAUGACGGUACCUGGAGAAUAAGCCCCGGCAAACUUCGUGCCAGCAGCCGCGGUAAA